ACGCUGGCGGCACGCCUAACACAUGCAAGUCGAGCGGGGUAGCAAUACCUAGCGGCAGACGGGUGCGUAACAUGUGGGAAUCUGCCUUUUGGUUCGGAACAACACGGGGAAACCUGUGCUAAUACCGGAUAAGUCCUUACGGAGAAAGUUUUAAUGCCAAAAGAUGAGCCCGCAUUUGAUUAGCUAGUUGGUGAGGUAAAAGCUCACCAAGGCGAUAAUCAAUAGCUGAUUUGAGAGGAUGAUCAGCCACACUGGGACUGAGAUACGGCCCAGACUCCUACGGGAGGCAGCAGUGGGGAAUCUUGCACAAUGGGCGAAAGCCUGAUGCAGCGAUGCCGCGUGAGUGAAGAAGGCCUUUGGGUUGUAAAGCUCUUUUGUCGGGAAAGAUAAUGACUGUACCCGAAGAAUAAGGUCCGGCUAACUUCGUGCCAGCAGCCGCGGUAAUACGAAGGGACCUAGCGUAGUUCGGAAUUACUGGGCUUAAAGAGUUCGUAGGUGGUUGAAAAAGUUAGUGGUGAAAUCCCAGAGCUUAACUCUGGAACUGCCAUUAAAACUUUUUCAGCUAGAGUAUGAUAGAGGAAAGCAGAAUUUCUAGUGUAGAGGUGAAAUUCGUAGAUAUUAGAAAGAAUACCAAUUGCGAAGGCAGCUUUCUGGAUCAUUACUGACACUGAGGAACGAAAGCAUGGGUAGCGAAGAGGAUUAGAUACCCUCGUAGUCCAUGCCGUAAACGAUGUGUGUUAGACGUUGGAAAUUUAUUUUCAGUGUCGCAGCGAAAGCGAUAAACACACCGCCUGGGGAGUACGACCGCAAGGUUAAAACUCAAAUGAAUUGACGGGGACCCGCACAAGUAGUGGAGCAUGUGGUUUAAUUCGAAGAUACGCGCAGAACCUUACCAACACUUGACAUGUUCGUCGCGACUCUAAGAGAUUAGAGUUUUCGGUUCGGCCGGACGAAACACAGGUGCUGCAUGGCUGUCGUCAGCUCGUGUCGUGAGAUGUUGGGUUAAGUCCCGCAACGAGCGCAACCCUCACUUUUAGUUGCCAUCAUUAAGUUGGGCACUCUGAAAGAACUGCCAGUGAUAAGCUGGAGGAAGGUGGGGAUGACGUCAAGUCCUCAUGGCCCUUACGUGUUGGGCUACACACGUGCUACAAUGGUAUCUACAACAGGAAGCAAGACUGCGAGGUCAAGCAAAUCCUUAAAAGAUACCUCAGUUCGGAUUGCACUCUGCAACUCGAGUGCAUGAAGCUGGAAUUACUAGUAAUCGUGGAUCAGCGUGCCACGGUGAAUGCGUUCCCGGGUCUUGUACACACCGCCCGUCACACCAUGGGAGUUGGUUCUACCUUAAGGCAAGGUUUUAAACCCUUGACCACGGUAUAGUCAGCGACUGGGGUGAAGUCGUAACAAGGUAGCCGUA
rnacentral:rRNA from 1 species